GAUGAACGCUGGCGGCGUGCCUAAUACAUGCAAGUCGAGCGAACAGACGAGGGGCUUGCUCCUCUGACGUUAGCGGCGGACGGGUGAGUAACACGUGGAUAACCUACCUAUAAGACUGGGAUAACUUCGGGAAACCGGAGCUAACACCGGAUAAUAUAUUGAACCGCAUGGUUCAAUAGUGAAAGAGGGUUUUGCUGUCACUUAGAGAUGGAUCCGCGCCGCAUUAGCUAGUUGGUAAGGUAACGGCUUACCACGGCAACGAUGCGUAGCCGACCUGAGAGGGUGAUCGGCCGCACUGGAACUGAGACACGGUCCAGACUCCUACGGGAGGCAGCAGUAGGGAAUCUUCCGCAAUGGGCGAAAGCCUGACGGAGCAACGCCGCGUGAGUGAUGAAGGUCUUCGGAUCGUAAAACUCUGUUAUUAGGGAAGAACAAAUGUGUAAGUAACUAUGCACGUCUUGAGGGUACCUAAUCAGAGGGCCACGGCUAACUACGUG
rnacentral:rRNA from 1 species